ACGGGGGGGGGCAAGCGUUGUUCGGAAUUACUGGGCGUAAAGGGCGCGUAGGCGGUUCGCUAAGUUGAAUGUGAAAACUCUGGGCUUAACCCAGAGCCUGCAUUCAAUACUGGCGGGCUAGAGUUCUGGAGGGGAUAGCGGAAUUCCUGGUGUAGCGGUGAAAUGCGUAGAUAUCAGGAGGAACACCGGUGGCGAAGGCGGCUAUCUGGACCGGCAUUGACGCUGAGGCGCGAAAGCUAGGGGAGCAAACGGGA
rnacentral:rRNA from 1 species